UCAUCUUUAUACCACCAGACACUGCCUUACAGAGAGCAAAAAAAAAAAAAAAAGAAGGAAUGUACAAUGUAUGAGAAUUUCCAGGUGUGUGGUGCAUGGCUGUGGUUCCAGCUACUUCAGAGACUGAGGCAGGAGAAUCACUUGAACUUGCAAGCUAAAGACCACUUGGAGGGGUCACUGGCAUCUUUUAUUGAUCAAUCAAAAACCAAUUGGGGACAAGGACCAUCAGCAUUUGGACUCACAGAUUCCCAAUGAAAGCGUUAGAAGCAACCCCCAGCAUCACAACUGAGACAUGAAGAUGGAGUUUGAGGGCCGUCUGGGUCCCCUACCUCACCCUGAACAUGCUUGAUCUCGUCUGAGAAGCUAAUCAGAGUCAGGUCUGCUUAAAGCUUGGAUGGGAGCCUUGGAGGAGAGUCUGGGCUACAUAGACAGAACCUGUCUAAGGCAAAACCAAAACAGAACUUACACAAAGUCCCCAGGUACCUAAAACUAGAUAUUUUGUUUUGUGAUUUGAAACAGACAAAAGUAUCAAUUUAAGCUUAGAAAGUACAAACAUGAAAGACCCUUAUUUCAGGGUCUUGGGAACUGCAAUUUGAGAGACAUAGGUUUAGAUAGGCUCUGAGUCAGAGUCCCAAAGCAAGUAGAGAAAGUGGAGCUUACAGUGAGAAAAAGUUCUUAACUCAUCACAAGAUCAGUAUAUUCCUCAGCUUCCUGUUACUGCCAUGAAACACCAAGACACUUAACUUAUAAAGCGAAAAGGUCCAGCACGCAACAGGUGAAAAAACGGAGAACUGGGAAUUGAGGCCAACCUGGGCUGAUGGAAAGACUGUUUCAGAAAACCAAACCAAAACAGAACAGCUCAGCAGUGGGGAACAUGAAUACUGUGCAAUCAUGAGAACUCCAGCUUGGAUCCCAGAACCCAUGGAACAAGCUAGAUGUCUCCACAAAUGCCCGUAACCCACCUUCAGGGAGGGCACAGACAGGAAGAGCACUGGUCCUUGCUGGCUUCCAGCCUGGAUGAGAAAAUGUGAACUCCAGGCUUAGGGUGAGACCACUUACACACUGAGGCUGGGUCUCCUGCUGCCCACAAGGGCUUGCCCCUGCAACCAAAGACCUUCCCUAGGCCCCACAUCCUUUAGGCUUCAUUAUUUCCUAGUAAUGCCACCCUCCAGACCCAGUCAUUGACACCCAGACAUUUGAGGGACACUCAGCCAAACUAUAGCCAUAAGUAAAUUGUUUAGCUAAGCACUUGGGAGACUGAGGCAAGGGGGUCACCUUGAGUUGAGGGCCAGCCUCCACUACAAAGUCCCUGUCUUAAAAUAAAAACAGAAAGGCCGGAGAGAUGGGUCA
rnacentral:lncRNA from 1 species